GCUUUGGUGAUUCAGUGGUAGAAUGCUCACUUUCCAUGAGAGAGACCCGGGUUUGAUUCCCAGCCAAUGCA
rnacentral:tRNA from 1 species